UGGAUCCAGACUUUGAUCAUGGCUCAGGACGAACGCUGGCGGCGCGCCUAACACAUGCAAGUCGAACGAGCGAGAGAGAGCUUGCUUUCUCGAGCGAGUGGCGAACGGGUGAGUAACGCGUGAGGAACCUGCCUCAAAGAGGGGGACAACAGUUGGAAACGACUGCUAAUACCGCAUAAGCCCACGACCCGGCAUCGGGUAGAGGGAAAAGGAGCAAUCCGCUUUGAGAUGGCCUCGCGUCCGAUUAGCUAGUUGGUGAGGUAACGGCCCACCAAGGCGACGAUCGGUAGCCGGACUGAGAGGUUGAACGGCCACAUUGGGACUGAGACACGGCCCAGACUCCUACGGGAGGCAGCAGUGGGGAAUAUUGCACAAUGGGGGAAACCCUGAUGCAGCGACGCCGCGUGGAGGAAGAAGGUCUUCGGAUUGUAAACUCCUGUUGUUGAGGAAGAUGAUGACGGUACUCAACAAGGAAGUGACGGCUAACUACGUGCCAGCAGCCGCGGUAAAACGUA
rnacentral:rRNA from 1 species